rnacentral:tRNA from 1 species
UUAAUUAAAGCUUUUAUUUAUGAAGCGGCGGGCUUUUAAUCCGAUUAAGCCUGUUUUGGCUGAUUAA